CAUGUGGCCUCUCUGGUUUCCACAGGUAAUCUUUGAUAUGAGAUAGUGUUGAUGGUUCUCCACAAAUCUCGGCCAACUCAGUACUGAUAUGUUUAAGCCGGAAUGAAGCUAUUGUACUGAAGUGUUAAGAGAGCAUUGAGUUGUGAAAGCCCAUUCUCCAGUUUCUAGAUGGCAUUCAUGCUUAACAGGGAGUCUCAUCCUAGCUCCCCUGCUGCCCUGAGAUGCAGGUAUACAAAGGUGCGUGCGGCAGAAUGUUGUCUCCAUGGCGCCGGGAAAGUGCUGCGGUGGCGAUUGGCUAGAGUGCGGGUGUUGUUGCCUGGAAGUGUUCCGACGGCGUGUGG